AGAGAGAGAGAGGUUUAAGGAACAUUUAAAGGUCUCUCUCUCUCAUUUAAAGGUCUCUCUCUCUCUCUAUAUAUAUAUAUAUAUAUAUAUAGAGAGAGAGAGAGACCUUUAAAUGAGAGAGAGAGAGAGACCUUUAAAUGUUCCUUAAACCUCUCUCUCUCUCUAUAUAUAU